AAUGAACGCUGGCGGCAGGCCUAAAACAUGCAAGUCGAGCGCCCUAGCAAUAGGGAGCGGCGCACGGGUGAGUAACACGUGGGAAUAUGCCUUUUGGUACGGAACAACUUUUGGAAACGAAAGCUAAUACCGUAUGGUCCCUUCGGGGUAAAGAUUGAUCGCCAAAAGAUUAGCCCGCGUUGGAUUAGCUAGUUGGAAGGGUAAUGGCCUACCAAGGCGACGAUCCAUAGCUGGUCUGAGAGGACGAUCAGCCACACUGGGACUGAGACACGGCCCAGACUCCUACGGGAGGCAGCAGUUAGGAAUAUUGGACAAUGGGCGCAAGCCUGAUCCAGCCAUGCCGCGUGAGUGAUGAAGGCCUUCGGGUUGUAAAGCUCUUUAGCCGAUGAAUAUAAUGACUGUAGUCGGAGAAUAAGCCCCGGCUAACUUCGUGCCAGCCGCCGCCGUAA
rnacentral:rRNA from 1 species